UACGAAGGGUGCAGGCGUUACUCGGAAUUACUGGGCGUAAAGCGUGCGUAGGUGGUGAGUUAAGUCUGUCGUGAAAGCCCCGGGCUCAACCUGGGAAUGGCGAUGGAUACUGGCUCGCUAGAGUGCGGUAGAGGAGAGUGGAAUUCCCGGUGUAGCAGUGAAAUGCGUAGAUAUCGAGAGGAACACCUGCGGCGAAGGCGGGUUGCUGGGCUGAUACUGACGCUGAGGCGCGAAAGCCAGGGGAGCGAACGGG
rnacentral:rRNA from 1 species